rnacentral:rRNA from 1 species
UACGGAGGGUGCGAGCGUUGUCCGGAAUCAUUGGGCGUAAAGGGCGCGUAGGUGGCCCGCUCAGCGUGCGGUGAAAGCUCGGGGCUCAACCCCGAGUCGGCCGUGCGAACUGGUGGGCUGGAGCACUGUAGAGGCAGGCGGAAUUCCGGGUGUAGCGGUUGAAUGCGUAGAGAUCCGGAAGAACACCGGUGGCGAAGGCGGCCUGCUGGGCAGUUGCUGACACUGAGGCGCGACAGCGUGGGGAGCAAACAGG